rnacentral:rRNA from 1 species
UACGUAGGGUGCAAGCGUUGUCCGGAAUUAUUGGGCGUAAAGAGCGUGUAGGCGGUCCGGUUAGUCCGCUGUGAAAUCUUGGAGCUUAACUCCGAAACUGCAUUCGAUACUGCCGUGCUUGAGGACUGGAGAGGAGACUGGAAUUUACGGUGUAGCGGUGAAAUGCGUAGAUAUCGUAAGGAAGACCAGUGGCGAAGGCGGGUCUCUGGACAGUUCCUGACGCUGAGGCACGAAGGCAGGGGAGCAAACGGG